CACUGGAAGGUGGAGGGCUCAGUGUUGCCUUCAAGCAAGAAGCUGGAAAGAUCAAGUCCUGAGAAUGCCAUCCUGAUUCAAUUCCUGCACAUCCAAAAGUUGAUCAUGUAGCCUGUGUCGAACAUACAUCAGACUGUGUCAUCCAGAGAUGCGGGGUCUACUGGUCCUUGUCUGACUAGGCUCUGGGUCAACUUUCCCUCGAUGUGUAUUCGAUAGCGACAUCUAUUCCCCAAGCACUCAAGUCUGGAGAUCUUCUCCC
rnacentral:lncRNA from 1 species